AUUGAACGCUGGCGGCAGGCCUAACACAUGCAAGUCGAGCGAGAGGCGGACGGGUGAGUAAUGUAUGGGGAUCUGCCCGAUAGAGGGGGAUAACUACUGGACACGGUAGCUAAUACCGCAUACUAUCGGAUGAACCCAUCUGGGAUUAGCUAGUAGGUGGGGUAAAGGCUCACCUAGGCGACGAUCUCUAGCUGGUCUGAGAGGAUGAUCAGCCACACUGGAACUGAGACACGGUCCAGACUCCUACGGGAGGCAGCAGUGGUGAAUAUUGCACAAUGGGCGCAAGCCUGAUGCAGCCAUGCCGCGUGUAUGAAGAAGGCCUUCGGGUUGUAAAGUACUUUCAGCGGGGAGGCGUUACCCGCAGAAGAAGCACCGGCUAACUCCGUGCCAGCAGCCGCGGUAAUAC
rnacentral:rRNA from 1 species